rnacentral:ncRNA from 1 species
GGUAUAUUCGACGAAGAGGGAAUCAGGUGCAAAUCCUGAACAGACCCGCUACUGUAAGUCCUAUGCAACGUUUUGACAAUUCUAAAAGCCACUGUAUCCCUGCUGGGAUGUGGGAAGGCAGUUCAAAACGGGGACAAGUCAGGAGACCUGCCAGCGCAUAUAA